AGAGCUGAGGCCUAUCCCGUCGCCGGAGAGAGCUCGGAUGGGCGCCGGAAGGGAGGGGCGGAUGAGUUUAUUUGAAGCUAUUGGAGUGGGGAUGGUGUGGGAUAUCUUCUUUUCCCUGAGUUUUUUUUUCUUUCUAUCGUCGAAAAAAGAGGCUCUGGGUUUGAAGUAUUUUCCAAUACCUCCCAUUCCAAUGGCUUCAAGUUUCUCCUUCCUCUCCCUUUCGGUCUUCAAAGGAAGUAUUGAGAGAUGUAGGGAGACACUUUUGUCCCCUUGUUUUUGUAUUGUUGGAGGAAGUGGAGGAGGGAGAGGAAGCAUGGGUUUCCGAAACCUGUGGGAAUGGGGGAAUUGGGGAAUUCUCCUGGCUCUGGGUAUGCGGGUACUUCCCAAUCCCACCCAUUCCUACUGUUUUCUGGAGCUCCUUCCUUUCCCAAUCCACUGUAUGGAUGUACAGAUUGAUCAAUCUUUUUAGCUUCUCUUGUUCGUUGAUUCUUAUUUUAACUGGUGAUGAGUUCUCGGCAGCAUGUCGCCCUUUAUUCUUGUUCUGUAGUGGCUGAUGAACGUAUUGGGCGAUGGAUUACAAAAGCCUGGUCUCUGGGGGAAGGUUUCAGUCGCUUGAGAAAGUUUUUGAUCACUCAGGAUGGAGUCAGCUGUAGGACGAACCAAUGCUCAAGUCUACUCGUGGAAGGAUUCUGUCGGAUCAAAGUUGAAAUCAUGGUUUCUUAUCCUUACUUGCAGGGUACUAAGAGGAGAGGUUCUUCCCCCUUUUGACUCCAAUUGGAUGGAGCAAGGGGUUGUCGAUUCUGGCGAUCUUUCAGGGCUCGUUUGGUUCGCGGGAAGUAUUUUCCUUCUUAGGAAUAUGAUUCCUAAGAAUCAGAUUUCUAGGAAGAGGAUACUUAGGAAAGUAUUUUUGGCAUGUUUGGUUAACCAUGGGAAAGUGACAAAUUUCCAAAGUGCUUAUGUUUGGUUGACCAUCCACUUUCCUAGGAAAGUUAUGUAUAAUUCUUAUUAUGUCCUCAAUAAAAAUUAGGUCUUUAA